rnacentral:misc_RNA from 1 species
GCUAAAUUAGGGUUUUUUCAUUACGUCAUGUUCAGUAAAUUACACUAAAUUCAGCAAAAAAGAGAACCUUUUUAACUCAAAAUCACAAAUCUUCCUCACAAGUUCCAUACGAACUCUUUCCUUUGCUUACCCCAAUCAGAAAACCACUCGAAAUUGAGGAGCAUCCGACCCACUCGCCGGCAUAAGCUCCCAACGGCAAGGCUCGAGCUCGUCAGAAACAGGACAAUACCCGGCAAGUGUGACCUUAUCAACAGAAGCAGCCACAGACCCAAAUUCGAAAACGGUUAUGUCGGUCGGCGGUGGGUUGGGCCUGGAAACCUCAACAGCUCCGUUCAUGCCGGGAACCUCCGGCUUGUCGGAAGAGAUUUGGGGUUUCGGGUCGGGUUUUUGGGUUGUUUUAGGGGUUUCAUUUUUGUCGCCUUUCCACCAUGACAGAAUCCCCAUGGCUAUUUCGCUGCUUACACACUGUAGUGCGGAUAAUCGGAUUUCCUCUAUAUUUAAAUUGUGAUACCCUCGAUAGUUU